UGGUCUCAUAGUUCAACGGAUAGAAUAGGAGUUUCCUAAACUCUUGAUCUGGGUUCGAUUCCCGGUGAGACCACCCA
rnacentral:tRNA from 2 species